CUAAACAAUAUUUUCAACUCCCUCUUUUUCCUCCUUUCUUUCUGCCGCUUGCCCUUGUUGUCUUCCAUCUGAAAAUGUUUGCUUUCCUCUUUCCAAAUUGUGGCUUUCUUCUUCUCUGUCUCUAGGUGAUAAACAUUCUUCAUUUGUGUUCCUUUGCCGUUCUCUUGAUCAGCUUUCAAAGGCAUGUGGCUUUGUAUUUUCGGCUAUCCUAAAUCUUCUUCAUCUUCUUAUCCGCUUUUCCUUGCAGGUGUGGUACCCGGAUGAUUGAGUUCUGCAUGGACUUUGAAGAGAGACGAACCGUGUAUUCUAGCUCUAACUGUCUUUUUGAAGUAGACAAGGAGGAAAUGGGUUACUCACAAGCUACUUCUUCUUGGACUUCUUUGCUGGAUGCAAGUUAUUAAAGAUUAGAUCUAGUUCCUUUGUCUCUUCUUUUUUGCUGGUGCCUGUCUCACUUUUUGAUGGUGUAGUAGCUUAGAUUAGUUAGUACCCUUGCAGCUUUUUUUGCUCCCAUAUAUAUCCCAUCCAAUCUGUAAAUAGCAUAGCUGUGGGACUCUAUGUAUUUAGUUCUGUAUCUAAGCUUACUAGUCAUGACUGUUGUCUUUGAUUCUCCCGGUCUUAAUUCUGAUGGAAGGAAUUUGUUGUUUAUUUGUAUUAAGAAUUUUCCUUCCUUUUCUUGGUCACUGAUUGAAAUUCUGGAAUUGUAGUAAAUGUAUGUUGUUAACAGCCUCAUUUGCAAUGAAAUCAACAAGCUGGUUAGCUUCUCUGAA